AAGUGGUAGUGCCCCCGCGCCGGGGUCCCGAGGUGGGUCGGCGGGGUCUGGCUACAGUUCAGAGACGCGGCAGGAGCUCAGUUGCUACACUCGCCGAGUGAGAGGAUUUAGGGAUGUCGGGGCCUGUACGUUUCCCUCGCUAAUAAGUAUUGCUGUAGUCAACUUUGCGGAGGGCGGAACGGAGCCCAGCCCGCGUGGCGGCCGCAUCCGCCCUCGCCCGCGGCUCCCGCCAGCCGGCUCGCCUGGGCCCGCCUCGCAGGUCCGCCUCUGGGAGCGACGUUGCACCGCCUCGGGGACCCACAGCCCUUCGGGAGUGUGCACGGGCCCCUGUUACGCCCUCGUGCGCAGCCCUGGAGCGGGCUCGAGGCGGUGAGACCCCGACAGGCCUGCAGGCGGGGCGGGCCCUAGGGGGUAGAACUUGCUUCUGAGUGCUGUGAACUCAGCCGGAAGAGCCAACCCCACGAGGCACCAGGGUCUCCAGUUCUCGCGUGUUUUAAGUGCGUCCCUCUCCCCUUUCCUCUGGGUGCCCCACAUAUCACCAAUGGCCACCCCCUCUGCGUCUCCCCUCUAGGAGAGUGUGCUUGGGACCCGAAGGAUUCCAAGCCAAGGUUUAUUUAUUUUGAGACAGGGAGAGCGCACCAGCAGGGGAGAGGCAGAGAGAGAGGGAGAGACAGAAUCCCAAGCAGGCUCUGCACUAUCACCGCAGAGCCCGACACAGGGCUCGAACUUACAAACCGAACUGCGAGAUCAUGACCUGAGCUGAAAUCCAGAGUCAGAAGCUUAACCGGCUGAGCCACUCAGGUGCCCUGAUACUUCUCUAUUUCAAACUCAGCAUCACAGCGUUUUAACUUUGUCUUUUAUAUUUGUGUCACCUUUCUUUGUGACCAAGAACCUCGGUUCUCAAGAAUGGGGGUGGGGGUGGGGGAUAAUAGGAUCAUGUGACGUAAUCCCUCAUUUGUCUUUCACAUGCUUCAUACACAACAGUCUCGCUGUCAGUAAAGUUCUAUCAAAUAUUUCA